rnacentral:rRNA from 1 species
CCUAACACAUGCAAGUCGAACGGUAACAGGGAUUAGCUUGCUAAUCCGCUGACGAGUGGCGCACGGGUGCGUAACGCGUAUACAAUCUGCCUUUAAGCGGGGAAUAGCCCAUGGAAACGUGGAUUAAUACCCCAUAGUCUAUAAACUUCACCUGGAGAUUAUAGUAAACAUUUAUGGCUUAAAGAUGAGUAUGCGUCCUAUUAGUUAGUUGGUAAGGUAACGGCUUACCAAGACGGCGAUAGGUAGGGGUCCUGAGAGGGAGAUCCCCCACACUGGUACUGAGACACGGACCAGACUCCUACGGGAGGCAGCAGUGAGGAAUAUUGGACAAUGGAGGCAACUCUGAUCCAGCCAUGCCGCGUGCAGGAAGACGGCCCUAUGGGUUGUAAACUGCUUUUAUACGGGAAGAACCACAUCUACGUGUAGAUGCUUGACGGUACCGUAUGAAUAAGGACCGGCUAACUCCGUGCCAGCAGCCGCGGUAAUACGGAGGGUCCAAGCGUUAUCCGGAAUCAUUGGGUUUAAAGGGUCCGUAGGCGGGAUAAUAAGUCAGUGGUGAAAGUCUGCAGCUCAACUGUAGAAUUGCCAUUGAUACUGUUGUUCUUGAAUUAUUAUGAAGUGGUUGGAAUGAGUAGUGUAGCGGUGAAAUGCAUAGAUAUUACUCAGAACACCUAUUGCGAAGGCAGAUCACUAAUAAUAUAUUGACGCUGAGGGACGAAAGCGUAGGUAGCGAACAGGAUUAGAUACCCUGGUAGUCUACGCCGUAAACGAUGGUUACUAGCUGUUCGGCUCGAUUGAGAGCUGAGUGGUUAAGCGAAAGUGAUAA